rnacentral:rRNA from 1 species
UACGUAGGCAGCAAGCGUUGUUCGGAGUUACUGGGCGUAAAGGGUGCGUAGGCGGCUUUUUAAGUUUGGUGUGAAAUCUCCCGGCUCAACUGGGAGGGUGCGCCGAAUACUGAGAGGCUAGAGUGUGGGAGAGGAAAGUGGAAUUCCUGGUGUAGCGGUGAAAUGCGCAGAUAUCAGGAGGAACACCGGUGGCGAAGGCAGGUCUCUGGGCCGAUAUUGACGCUGAGGAGCGAAAGCGUGGGGAGCAAACAGG